UAAUCCAUUGGUGUGGUUCAAGUCCAG
rnacentral:piRNA from 1 species